CUGGCUCCUUUUGGUGGGAUCUGAUGGCAUCUCACCCAGUGGAGGUAGGCGGUGCUGGGAGGUCUGCCAGCCACGUGACUCAGCGUGCUGGCUUCAGGGAAGUCAGACAGAAGAGCAAACUUCACCCAGGAGCAACCUUUGGGGGCACUGGAUGGAAUCUGAUAGUUGAACUGAAGCUAACUUCACUUUUUAAGUGGAAAUUUUCAUGACACUUCCAGUUUUCUCUCUGUGUCAUCCGAAGACAAUGCAAAAAAAUACGCACAAAGAAGCAAGUGGAUAUACUGACAACAAAGAACAAACUUCGUGGGGGUCAUGAGCGGGGUCUGAGAGUGUUUCCUGUCUCAUGGGAAGCGUUUACAUCAUGACUUGUCGUCUAUACUGUCUAGCCUAGUGUCUCCGAACUUCCUGGAAUAAAACCAAACUAAGCAAAACAAUAAAAAUGACAUUUUUUUGUG